AUGUUUACACUGGUGGUACAAAAUGAGUGGCAUAAUAGGCUUCUUCGGGUACUGAAUUCAGUAAGCGUUGAGGUGAGAGAAAAUCCACUUGAUAUGUCUAUUUCUAUAAGAACAAAUUCUGCAUCAACUUCCCAUAUAUAUUCAUAUUGGACCCAAAAAACAACAAAUUUUAGGACGCUGGGGAUUCUCACCAUGUGUGCUCGCUUGCCUUCAUGUGGAUGCUGCACGCGUGUGGAUGCUGCACGCGUGGGAUGGAGGCGGGAAAAGAGGCGGAGCUGCGCAAGGCCACCAAGCGCGAAGAAGAAGAGGCCGCCAUUGCUACUCCCCUCCAGAUCGUGCCGUUACUCAUGGCUGCCACCGCGUGGGAGAUUUCAGUUCUGCCUGGGCGGCGACAAGGGUGAGAAAGAACAGGGGUUGCAUCAGAGACAAGAAAAAGGAGCAACAUACCUUAAACCAAGCCCUCCAUAG
rnacentral:rRNA from 1 species